CUGCAGCCAAUUAAGCCGACCGUGUUCUUUUCCCCGUGGGACCCGGUGUGCAAUGGCUGCAAACAGUAGCCUCCAUGGUAGUGUAUGCAGCCUGUUCCUUGUAUGGGUUGCUCUAAGGGACCCUGGAGACAGCC
ensembl:snoRNA SNORA70 Small nucleolar RNA SNORA70